CUGGAUUGGAUGGUAUUUUCCUUUUAUUGUUUUUUCCUUUGCCUGCGAGAGGACUUUUGAUAUGUUCCUGUCGAGAAUACCAAUACUACCAACAACAAGGUGAUUGUUCAAAGCGACGCGUGAUCAGCAACUUGAGCGGAAAGUUCAGUCAAGCUUUUGAGGCUCAGUAAUUGUGGAUGUCCAGCCUAUUUCAAAGUCUGUCCCAGCGCUGAAUUGGCGCAGAAUUGAGUUUGGCGGAAUACGGCUCUCCUAUCUUUAUUUAGUAAGUUGCCAACGCCGCGUCUGAUUAUAGUUAACCCGGUCUUUAUUUUAUAACCGCCAGGUAAGGUCAGCUGGAGAGGAUUAUAGCAGAAUAACAAACUACACCUUAUAUAUCUCUUUUCCUGGCUGUUUAGCCCGCGAUGGAUUAUCCUACAGCCCCUUUAUAGACAACCCACGGGUUUCCAGGCAAACGUCAUAUCCCGUAUAACAAUCGCCUAGGUUCGACCAAUUAUUCACUGGCUCGGAGGGUAAUAUCAAACUAAUAAGGAGUUGGGAAAUGGUUGGCAGAGAAAGUGAAUCCCGGAAGAAACUAUCAACCUAUGUUUCCCUAGUUAACUGCAGCGGCACCUCGCUUGACCCGAGCAUGACCUCCGGUGGCGACAGGGUGGGCGGGAAAAUACAGAUGAAGGGACUUCCUGAGUCGGCAGAAGAGCGCGAUGAGCAGAGCCAUUAUAUUGGCGAUGAAGAAAAUGGAUA
rnacentral:sRNA from 1 species